rnacentral:lncRNA from 1 species
AAAAAAAAACUGUUAUAGAUGACCAAACUGUUACAUGUAUUUUAAAAGGUUUUCCUCAACGUGAGGAUUGUUGAAGAAAUAAACUUAAGAAAAAUCAAACAAUGCUACAUGUUCAUCCGCCUGUCGAUCAGGACUACAGUCAGAAACCUAAUAUCAGUGGUGUACAUACAUGUUGAUCAUAUUUAGAAUAUUUUAUCCCCCUUCCCUCCCCC